rnacentral:misc_RNA from 1 species
GGUGCCUUACCUCCCAUUCGGCACCUUUGCAUAUAGUAUCAUUUCUGUGGUAUCAUUCCUUGUAUGCAGGGUAAGUUGAGUAGUGAACAAAUUGAACAAGACCAUGGACAUGCUCACAACAGAAGAGAGGCAUUCCAGCUGUCCAGCAACUCUAGAGGAUGGCAAGUCACAGCAGCGACAGUCCCAUUGCUCUUCCAUUGGUGUCUGUAAAACUGAAAGACCAUCUGAUGUGGAAGUUCAUCACAAGGUCCACAUAGUCAAGCGGCUGUUUGAGUGCCACCUGUGCCCUCAAAGUUUCCAACAGAAGGGCAACCUCAACCAACACCUGCGCACCCACACCGGCGAGCGGCCACAUCAGUGCCCUUCAUGUGACAAGAGCUUCUCGGCAAGGUGCAAGCUUAGGGACCACCUGCGCACUCACACUGAAACUCAUUCAUCCCCUGCUGUGUGAACCAGGAUGAGUGUUCCCCUACCAGGAAAGCAGCAGUCAAAACACACCCCAUGCCACCAUGAGACUGUUGAGGAGGAGGAGGAGAGGUUGAGGAAAGAAAAACGCACAACUUCUGCAACCCUGAUUGGGAGCACGGCUCUGCACCUGUAAGGGAAAGGGGGAAAGGGAGAUAAAGAUGAGAAGAGCUAGGAGAAGGAGAGGAGGAAUGCUGUCGAUGACCGAGGACGCGGUGGGCGGCUACUAUAGCCGGUUGGCC